rnacentral:rRNA from 1 species
GAUGAACGCUGACAGAAUGCUUAACGCAUGCAAGUCUUUGGCGAAGCUGUGCUUGCACAGCCUAGCCAAGGCGGACGGGUGAGUAACGCGUAAGGAACUUGCCCUGCAGUCAGGGAUAACAGACGGAAACGACUGAUAAGACCUGGUAAAGUCAGGCGGACUCAUGUCCAGCCUGAUGAAAAGAGAUGCUGCAGGAGAGCCUUGCGUCCUAUUAGCUUGUUGGUGGGGUAACGGCCCACCAAGGCGAUGAUAGGUAGCCGGCCUGAGAGGGUGGACGGCCACAAGGGGACUGAGAUACGGCCCUUACUCCUACGGGAGGCAGCAGUGGGGAAUAUUGGACUAUGGGGGCAACCCUGAUCCAGCAAUUCUGUGUGCACGAUGAAGGUUUUCGGAUUGUAAAGUGCUUUCAGCAGGGAAGAAAAAAAUGACGGUACCUGCAGAAGAAGCGACGGCUAAAUACGUG